rnacentral:lncRNA from 1 species
AAUCGGGUACAUCCUCUUCAACAGCAUGUUCAUGGUAGCGAGUCUCACACUCGGAUUCGUACAUUGUUUCACAAACAGUUGGCCCUGUGAAAUAAAAAGAAGAUGCAAGGAUUAAUCCAAUGUAUAUAUAAGCAACACCACUAAGUCAUGAAAAUAGUCCUUUAUAAAACAAAAAAAAAUGAAAAUAGUUUUCUAAAAAACGUUUCCAACUUUCUAAGUUAACCUCCUUCCACCAUUCUAAAUAAAAAAUCCUACGAAAGCCACUAUUAGUCACAGUGUAUUAUCCUAUACGAAUUUGUUUUAUUUUUCUAGCCAAAUACUGGUACUCAUUUUGGUACCGUAAAAGGCUACAAAAAUAUAUGUAUGUAUCGUGACAACACUUGUAUCAAUAUACAUAUUUAUGAUAAUGAA